rnacentral:rRNA from 1 species
AUACGUAGGGGGCGAGCGUUAUCCGGAAUGAUUGGGCGUAAAGGGCGCGUAGGCGGCCCGUUAAGUCUGGGGUGAAAGUCCUGUUUUCAAGAUGGGAAUUGCUUUGGAUACUGCUGGGCUUGAGUGCAGGAGAGGAUAUCGGAAUUCCCGGUGUAGCGGUGAAAUGCGUAGAGAUCGGGAGGAACACCAGUGGCGAAGGCGGGUAACUGGACUGCAUCUGAAGCUGAGGCGCGAAAGUGUGGGGAGCAAACAGGAUUAGAUACCCUGGUAGUCCACACUGUAAACGAUGAAUGCUAGGUGUAAGAGGUAGCGACCCCUUUUGUGCCGGAGUUAACACAAUAAGCAUUCCGCCUGGGGAGUACGGACGCAAGGUUGAAACUCAAAUGAAUUGACGGGG